rnacentral:rRNA from 1 species
AGGCAUGUGCACACCCUGCUCAUCCACUCUACACCUGUGCACUCAUUGUAGGUUGGCGUGGGCUUUGAACCUCCGGGUUUGAGGCAUUCUGCUGGCCUAUGUAACACUACAAACUCUUAAAGUAACAGAAUGUAAACGCGUCUAACGCAUCCUUAUACAACUUUCAGCAACGGAUCUCUUGGCUCUCGCAUCGAUGAAGAACGCAGCGAAAUGCGAUAAGUAAUGUGAAUUGCAGAAUUCAGUGAAUCAUCGAAUCUUUGAACGCACCUUGCGCUCCUUGGUAUUCCGAGGAGCAUGCCUGUUUGAGUGUCAUGGAAUUCUCAACCCAUAAAUCCUUGUGGUAUAUGGGCUUGGACUUGGAGGUUUUGCCGGCUCUAGUAGUCGGCUCCUCUCAAAUGCAUUAGCUUGAUUCCGUGCGGAUCGGCUCUCAGUGUGAUAAUUGUCUACGCUGUGACCGUGAAGUGUUUGGCGAGCUUCCAACCGUCCUUCAAGGACAAUAUUUUGACAUCUGACCUCAAAUCAGGUAG